CGGAAACUUUUGUUCACAUCCCAGCUGAGCUAUUUGCCAUAAUACAUCUAGUUGUUUCUGGACAAGAUCUAUGAGUUGAUUAACCAGCAUGAGACCACCCUGUAUCUUGACAUUAGCUGAGGCCUGUUUAUCUAUGACUGUAGUCACUGAGGCUGACAAAGUGUUAAUGGUGUCAGUCGUCUGGACCUGUCCAGACAGAGCCAAGGCUGUCUGAAUCAAGGCCAAACCCAGUUCCUAGUUAGUGGUAAAAAAGCAGGGGAAUACUUGAGCAUUAUACAUCACCGUCAUUAGGAGUGGAAAUGUCGACAUUUGGCCUGAUCCAUAACUUCGUAUAAUGUAUGUAUA
rnacentral:lncRNA from 1 species